AUACGGAAGGUCCGGGCGUUAUCCGGAUUUAUUGGGUUUAAAGGGAGCGCAGGCGGAGAUGCAAGCGUGACGUCAAAUUUCGGGGCUCAACCCCGUCUCGCGUCGCGAACUGCGUCCCUUGGUUGCGGGAAGGGGAGGCGGAACUCGUGGUGUAGCGGUGAAAUGCAUAGAUAUCACGAAGAACUCCGACCGCGAAGGCAGCCUUCCGGCCCGUCAACGACGCUCAUGCUCGAAGGUGCGGGUAUCAAACAGGAUUAGAUACCCUGGUAGUCCGCACAGUAAACGAUGGACACCCGCGGUUUGGCCUGUAUGGCUGAGCCGCCAAGCGAAAGCGUUAAGUGUCCCACCUGGGGAGUACGCCGGCAACGGUGAAACUCAAAUGAAUUGACGGGG
rnacentral:rRNA from 1 species